CCCGCCUCCACUCACUCGCACGAGCUCAGAUGAGAUCUACUCGUCAUCUUACUGAAGUAAACGCUGCACAAUGGUAUCGCUUUUUACAACGUCGGACACAUAACGAACAUCCAAACUCAGAAUAAGCAAGUGUGUGGGAGCGAUGUCAGAAGUAGAGCCCAGCUGGUGUCAUAUCCUUCAUGAACUAUAAAAGGAAUGAUUGCAGUGGGAUAUGGAAUGCUGAUUGGAAUCAUUUACAGUCCAGAAGAAGAAAGAGCAAGGUGCUGCGCAUGAUAAUGCAGUUGUCUGCUUUAACCUAUGUAAAUUAUUACUUAAAUUACUUGUUAAUUGUGUCAGCUAACUGAUUAUCACCGUGUUUCCACAUCACUGUUAAUUGUAUUGGAACUCUCACAUACGAAGAAAAACAUGCAUAAAACACUCAUGAUGUGUCUUUUAAAGCUUCAGGACACCAUAAUGAGACUAUUGUUCCAGACUAUGUACUUAAAGUACAGUAACAGUGUUUACAGAAUAGCUUCUGAUUACAUUUCCUUAACUCAAAAAUUAACAUCAUUUUUCAUAUUUAU